AGUCUAUGAUGAGAGCAUUGGCGUUAGUCCUUUGAUCUAUCCCAAGCUUCAUUUAGGGCUCUCCAUCUUUUUGCAUAAAGUUUGCGAUCAAAUUUCUCAUGUGAUU